rnacentral:rRNA from 1 species
GCAUAUCAAUAAGCGGAGGAAAAGAAAAUAACAAUGAUUCCCUUAGUAACGGCGAGUGAAGGGGGAUAAGCUCAAAUUUUAAAUCUGCUAGGUCUUACCUAUCAGAGUUGUAAUUUGAAGAAGCGUUUUCCGCGUCUCGGUUGACCCAAAUCCUUUGGGAUACGGUAUCAUGGAGGGUGAGAAUCCCGUUCGGUUGACCUUAUGACGCUUUACGAUACGUUUUCUAAGAGUCGAGUUGUUUGGGAUUGCAGCUCAAAAUGGGAGGUAAAUUUCUCCUAAGGCUAAAUAUUGGCGAGAGACCGAUAGCGAACAAGUACCGUGAGGGAAAGAUGAAAAGAACUUUGAAAAGAGAGUAAAAUAGUACGUGAAAUUGUUGAAAGGGAAACGAUUGAAGUCAGUCGUACCGACGGAAAAUCAGCUCUUUAGUGCGGACUUGUGGGCUUACGUGAGUUUUAACACCUCGCUGUUUGCAACGUUCGUGCUUUUUGGGUGUACUUUUUCGUAUGGUAGGCCAAUGUCAGUUUCGAUUGCUAUAAAAUGACCGGCGGAAUGUAGCUUCGAUCUUGUAUUGAAGUGUUAUAGCCUCUGGUAGAUGUGGUGAUCGGGACUGAGGAUUGCAACGAAUACCUUUUGGGCUAUCCGUCUGAUCUCUGAAGGUUGCUUAGGUGCCGAAAGCGUGCUUACGGUUAUUUAAGUUGACAGUCAAAAGGUUAGAACGGAUUAUAUUCGUUAAGGAUGUUGACGUA